rnacentral:rRNA from 1 species
AGUGAACGCUGGCGGUAGGCCUAACACAUGCAAGUCGAACGGCAGCACAGUAAGAGCUUGCUCUUACGGGUGGCGAGUGGCGGACGAGUGAGGAAUAAAUCGGAAUCUACUUUUUCGUGGGGGAUAACGAAGGGAAACAUACGCUAAUACGGCAUACGACCUACGGGUGAAAGCAGGGGAUCUUCGGAGCUUGCGCGAGUGAAUGAGCCGAGGUCGGAUUGGCUAGUUGGCGGGGUAAAGGCCCACCUAGGCGACGAUCCGUAGCUGGUCUGAGAGGAUGAAGCGGCACACUGGGACUGAGACACCGCCCAGACUCCGACGGGAGGCCGCAGUUGGGAAUAGUGGACAAAGGGCGGAAGCCUGCUCCAUCCAUAGCGGCUUGGUGAAGAAAGGCCUCGGGCUGUAAAACCCCUUUGUUGGGAAAGAAAAGCAGCAGGUUAAUACCCCGCUGUUCUGACGGUACCCAAAGAAUAAGCACCGGCUAACUUCGUG